UGGGGAAUUUUGCACAAUGGGGGAAACCCUGAUGCAGCGACGCCGCGUGAUUUAGAAGGCCUUCGGGUUGUAAAAAUCUUUUCUAUGGGAAGAAAAUGACAGUACCAUAGGAAUAAGGACCGGCUAAUUACGUGCCAGCAGCCGCGGUAAUACGUAAGGUCCGAGCGUUGUCCGGAAUCAUUGGGCGUAAAUGGUACGUAGGCGGGUAAGCAAGUUAGAAGUGAAAUCCUAUAGCUCAACUAUAGUAAGCUUUUAAAACUGCUCAUCUUGAGGUAUGGAAGGGAAAGUGGAAUUCAUAGUGUAGCGGUGAAAUGCGCAGAUAUUAGGAGGAAUACCGGUGGCGAAGGCGGCUUUCUGGCCAUAACCUGACGCUGAGGUACGAAAGCGUGGGUAGCAAACAGG
rnacentral:rRNA from 1 species